UACGUGAGGGGCGAACGUUGUUCGGUGUCACUGGGCUUAAAGGGUGCGUAGGUGGUUGCGUAAGUAACGUGUGAAAUCCCUCGGCUUACCCGGGGAAUUGCGCGUUAUACUGCGCGACUUGAGGAUUUCAGGGGAAUGGGGAACUCCAGGUGUAGCGGUGAAACGCGCAGAUAUCUGGGGGAAGGCCGGCGGCGAAGGCGCCAUUCUGGGAAAUUCCUGACACUGAGGCACGAAAGCGUGGGGAGCAAACAGG
rnacentral:rRNA from 1 species